rnacentral:rRNA from 1 species
UACGUAGGGGGCUAGCGUUGUCCGGAAUCAUUGGGCGUAAAGAGCGUGUAGGCGGUCCGGUAAGUCCGCUGUGAAAGUCGGGGGCUCAACCCUCGAAUGCCGGUGGAUACUGUCGGGCUAGAGUGCGGAAGAGGUGAGUGGAAUUCCUGGUGUAGCGGUGAAAUGCGCAGAUAUCAGGAGGAACACCUAUUGCGAAGGCAGCUCGCUGGGACGUUACUGACGCUGAGACGCGAAAGCGUGGGGAGCAAUCAGG